GCAUCGGUGGUUUAGUGGUAAAAUUAGCCGUUGCCAAUCGCAACAUUAGCAAUUGUCGAAGUCGGCUAGCCCCGGGUUCGAUUCCCGGCCGAUGCA